CUUGGUCAUUUAGAGGAAGUAAAAGUCGUAACAAGGUCUCCGUUGGUGAACCAGCGGAGGGAUCAUUACAGAGUUGCAAAACUCCCUAAACCAUUGUGAACGUUACCUUUACCGUUGCUUCGGCGGGCGGCCCGGGUCCUGCCCGGCGCCCCUCGGCCCUCGCGGGCGCCCGCCGGAGGAAAACCAAACCAUUGCAUUGUAUGGCCUCUCUGAGUCUUCUGUACUGAAUAAGUCAAAACUUUCAACAACGGAUCUCUUGGUUCUGGCAUCGAUGAAGAACGCAGCGAAAUGCGAUAAGUAAUGUGAAUUGCAGAAUUCAGUGAAUCAUCGAAUCUUUGAACGCACAUUGCGCCCGCCAGUAUUCUGGCGGGCAUGCCUGUUCGAGCGUCAUUUCAACCAUCAAGCCCCCGGCUUGUGUUGGGGACCUGCGGCUGCCGCAGGCCCUGAAAACCAGUGGCGGGCUCGCUGUCACUCCGAGCGUAGUAGUUUACAUCUCGCUCAGGGCGUGCUGCGGGUUCCGGCCGUUAAAAGCCUUAUUUUACCCAAGGUUGACCUCGGAUCAGGUAGGAAGACCCGCUGAACUUAAGCAUAUCAAUAAGCGGAGG
rnacentral:rRNA from 1 species